CCAUCGAGUCUAAUGGGUUAAAGGUCUUGAUGUGAUCUGACUUAAGGAGACGAAGGAAAAAGCUUUUGCAAUGUGCUUGAUACAGGUUCUUUUCUUGUUUGGCCGAAAGUUUUUCAUGGUCUUCAAUCCUAAGUGCACUGAUCAUGAGAUCAUGUUAUUGGCAGCCGACCACUACUCAGGAGUCGUUUACCGACAAGUGUUCAACCAAGGAAGACUCGUUAAUGAAAAGGCAAGCCCUCCCUGACAGUAUAAAAUAUCAUAUUGUGCAGAUACGGCCAAACUUUAUUGGAGGAGGUUUUACAUAUCCAACAUUUCAAAUUUUUUUGAAAUUACAUGUUUGCUCCUAUAAGUUCUGUUUUUGCAUGCAUAUUCCUUAAAAAUUAAAAACUAUAUACAUAUAUAUAUAUCCCUUCAAAUAUUUAAAUAUUUCUUUUCUGUCA